rnacentral:rRNA from 1 species
UGGGGAAUUUUGGACAAUGGGCGAAAGCCUGAUCCAGCAAUGCCGCGUGUGUGAAGAAGGCCUUCGGGUUGUAAAGCACUUUUGUCCGGAAAGAAAACGCCGUGGUUAAUACCCGUGGCGGAUGACGGUACCGGAAGAAUAAGCACCGGCUAACUACGUGCCAGCAGCCGCGGUAAUACGUAGGGUGCAAGCGUUAAUCGGAAUUACUGGGCGUAAAGCGUGCGCAGGCGGUCCGCUAAGACAGAUGUGAAAUCCCCGGGCUUAACCUGGGAACUGCAUUGGUGACUGGCGGGCUAGAGUAUGGCAGAGGGGGGUAGAAUUCCACGUGUAGCAGUGAAAUGCGUAGAGAUGUGGAGGAAUACCGAUGGCGAAGGCAGCCCCCUGGGCCAAUACUGACGCUCAUGCACGAAAGCGUGGGGAGCAAACAGG